UACGUAGGGCGCAAGCGUUGUCCGGAAUUAUUGGGCGUAAAGAGCUCGUAGGCGGUUUGUCGCGUCUGCUGUGAAAACUCGAGGCUCAACCUCGGGCUUGCAGUGGGUACGGGCAGACUAGAGUGCGGUAGGGGUGACUGGAAUUCCUGGUGUAGCGGUGAAAUGCGCAGAUAUCAGGAGGAACACCGGUGGCGAAGGCGCCACUCUGGGCCGAAACUGACGCUGAGGAGCGAAAGCGUGGGUAGCAAACAGG
rnacentral:rRNA from 1 species